rnacentral:rRNA from 1 species
UACGGAGGAUGCGAGCGUUAUCCGGAUUUAUUGGGUUUAAAGGGUGCGUAGGCGGAUUUUUAAGUCAGCGGUAAAAUGUCCGGGCUCAACCCGGGCCGGCCGUUGAAACUGGGGAUCUUGAGUGGGCGAGAAGUAUGCGGAAUGCGUGGUGUAGCGGUGAAAUGCAAAGAUAUCACGCAGAACUCCGAUUGCGAAGGCAGCAUACCGGCGCCCGACUGACGCUGAGGCACGAAAGCGUGGGGAUCGAACAGG